AUUGAACGCUGGCGGCAGGCCUAACACAUGCAAGUCGAACGAGUGGCGGACGGGUGAGUAAUGUCUGGGAACGUGCCUGGUGGAGGGGGAUAACUACUGGAAACGGUGGCUAAUACCGCAUACUCUCGGAUGAGCCCAUAUGGGAUUAGCUAGUUGGUGGGGUAAAGGGUCACCUAGGCGACGAUCCCUAGCUGGUUUGAGAGGAUUACCAGGCACACGGGAACUGAGACACGGCCCGGACUCCUACGUGAGGCAGCAGUGGGGAAUAUUGCACAAUGGGGGCAAGCCUGAUGCAGCCAUGCCGCGUGUAUGAUGAAGGCCUUCGGGUUGUAAAGUACUUUCAGCGGGGAGGCGGUAUCUGCAGAAGAAGCACCGGCUAACUCCGUGCCAGCAGCCGCGGUAAUUC
rnacentral:rRNA from 1 species